GAUGAACGCUGGCGGCGUGCCUAAUACAUGCAAGUCGAGCGAACAGACGAGGAGCUUGCUCCUCUGACGUUAGCGGCGGACGGGUGAGUAACACGUGGAUAACCUACCUAUAAGACUGGGAUAACUUCGGGAAACCGGAGCUAAUACCGGAUAACAUGUUGAACCGCAUGGUUCAACAGUGAAAGACGGUCUUGCUGUCACUUAUAGAUGGAUCCGCGCCGCAUUAGCUAGUUGGUAAGGUAACGGCUUACCAAGGCAACGAUGCGUAGCCGACCUGAGAGGGUGAUCGGCCACACUGGAACUGAGACACGGUCCAGACUCCUACGGGAGGCAGCAGUAGGGAAUCUUCCGCAAUGGGCGAAAGCCUGACGGAGCAACGCCGCGUGAGUGAUGAAGGUCUUCGGAUCGUAAAACCCUGUUAUUAGGGAAGAACAAAUGUGUAAGUAACUAUGCACGUCUUGACGGUACCUAAUCAGAAAGCCACGGCUAACUACGUG
rnacentral:rRNA from 1 species